GAUGAACGCUGGCGGCGUGCCUAAUACAUGCAAGUCGAGCGAACAGACGAGGAGCUUGCUCCUCUGACGUUAGCGGCGGACGGGUGAGUAACACGUGGAUAACCUACCUAUAAGACUGGGAUAACUUCGGGAAACCGGAGCUAAUACCGGAUAAUAUAUUGAACCGCAUGGUUCAAUAGUGAAAGACGGUUUUGCUGUCACUUAUAGAUGGAUCCGCGCCGCAUUAGCUAGUUGGUAAGGUAACGGCUUACCAAGGCAACGAUGCGUAGCCGACCUGAGAGGGUGAUCGGCCACACUGGACCUGAGCCGCGAUCCAGACUACUACGGGAGGCAGCAGUAGGGAGUGUACCGCAAUGGGCGAAAGGCUGACGGAACCACGCCGCGUGGGUGAUAGAGGUCCUCGGAUAGUAAUACUAUGUUAUUAGGGAGGAACAAUUGUGUAAGUAACUAUGCACGUCUUGACGGUACCUAAUCAGAAAGCCACGGCUAACUACGUG
rnacentral:rRNA from 1 species